CGACGAUAGAGCUCUAACCCUAAACCAAUCUGGAGCCUAUAUAAGAAAAGCUUCUUCCCCAACUUCUACCUCCGUCGGCAAUGCAAUCCGUCUCGAUUCAGGUUAAAAGCUAUAACAACAACAUUGAAGAGAGAUGUAAGCAAGCAUCUAUCAUAAGAUUUUUUUUAUUUACACAUCCUUGGUCUGCAAAUGUUUUGGUGAUACUCAUUGUUGUACAAUGUUUUAUCAUUUGGAUACAACCACGUAUGUAAGAACUCUAUGGAGCUUAAGUUGAAUGCUAAUUUUCAACUUGUUUGCUUAAAUAUCUAGGCAUCUGAUUUGUAAACUUUAAU